GCCCUCCUGCCUCACAGUCACGCCCCAUCCCUGACCCUGCCCAGCAACCAGGAUCACUUUGCCAGGGUUUCUUCCCUUUUCUGGAAGUUUAUUCAGUAGGAUCUUACCGUGCAAAGCCUGCCAGGUCUGGCUUCUCAGAGGCAGUGAAAUUAUUCUGAGGCCCCUUCGUUUUGAGAGAGGCCACGGGAGGACACAGCAAGAAGAAAGCUAACUACAAGUCUCACCAGAAACUGAUCCUGCCAGCAACUCCGUCUCUACAGCUGUGGGAAAAUGAAUGCUGUUUAAGCUGCGCAGUUGGUGGUAUUUUGCUCCAGCAGCCCAAGCAGGCUAACGCUGUGACUUUGGGGAGUGUAAGACCGGGGGCCUUACCAAACGCUCUGAGAAGCUGACUGCAGCGAAGAACACCCGGGAAG